UACCAUUAUUGUUGCUACUUUGCGUUGGCUUUGUCUGUGAAAUGCUUGGAAUUUUCCAUUCACGGAGUCAGUAUUGUAGUAUCAAACAGCUAUGAUGUGAAAUGCUUGGGAUUUUCCAUUCACGGAGUCAGUAUUGUAGUAUCAAACAGCUAUGAUAUAAUUAACAGCUAUGAUUAUUACAUCAGCACCUGUGUUAGGACAAAUAAGUUGCACGAAUAAUGCAUAUCUGUUGCUAAUAUUAGAAGUAGACUUGUAAAAAUCUUUUUAGUUGUUUGUUUACAUAUCAGUUGCAAAUAACCCAAGUAUAUCUUAAAAUGCUUCAUAAUAAUUUAUAUAAGAUUAAGUGUAAUAGUUUGACAAGGCAACUAUUGAGUUUGUUUGCUUCACUAGACCUGACCUGACUUUGAUUACUCCACCAGGCUCAAAUCUUUUGCAUGCCAUAGAACUUUGGAUACAAUAGCUUAGAUUGUCCUGUUCAUAAUCAAUGAGUUAAGACUGGUAUACAUGAACUUGAUGGGCAUGGUAUGAGUAACUUGAAAGCAUAUUGAACCACUUGGUCAAAGGCCCAAGAACCCAGUUAUUGGGUUAGUAGGUCUAUGGAAUUGUCAUUGUUAUUGCAUGGUAGCACUGAUAUGGUGCAAUGGGUACCAGGUUAGAUAGAAGAUCAUGUGUGGGUUUAACAUCGAGAGGAAGGAACCGUCAUUGCAUGGUAGCACUGCUAUGUUGCUACGAGUCCCAUAUUCCACCUUCUAGGAAAUGAUCUUACAUUGUGUGUUGGUCUUGAGGAGGUCGGAAGUGGGGAAAUGAUGAUGGUUGUGAUUAACAUGAUUUCUAUGAUGCUUUAAAGAUAGAAAUAAACUGUUUUGUUAUGUACCAUGCUAGCUUUGUCUUUAAUUAUAUGAACAUAACUAUUUUAGUGUAUGGAAUCAUUCAAAGUUGGUUUCUAUGUUGCUUGAGUUAGAUUACUCUUGAAUAUUCAGCAGUGAGAUGGAGCAUCCAAAUGAAGUGUCAACCUUUUCUUUAGAUCAGGUGAGUCGAGCCACAUGCACUGAGGCACCUUUGGUUUUCAUGGUUCGGAAAACAUGUCUUGCAAAAUCUAGACCACUGCAGAGCAUAUAUGGUUUUAAAUAUUUAAAUCCUUGUAAGAUUUUGUUUACAAUAUCCAUAAAGUUCUUGCAAAAUUAUUUUCUUCUGUUUUCUUUUGAUUGUUAAGUUUUUCUCCUGCAGGUGUUAUGACGGCUCUGGCAAUUGAGACGGAGUGUAAAUACUUCUGAAAAGAGCGCAUUUCCAAAACCUUUGAGGUUGAUAUCUGCCAGCAACAGUGAAAAGUUCUUGGGAUGUACUUUGGAGUGAAACAGAGGAAAAGGCACAUCGAUUGGAGCACUCGCAACGGGGAAGAGCUCGUCGCAAGCAGAGGUGGAAUUCUUUGCAAUGGCAAGCAGAGAUUCAUGUGGAGAAGAAUCAGACCCCUUUUCCCUUCCUCCUGCUAAUUAAUUUAUCUGACUUGUGGGAACAUCGAUGGUGAUUUCCAUGAUAUGUUGUUGGAUUCUAAUAUCAUGAAACAUAAAAAGCUCAUCUUUAUUAUGAUGAGAGAGGGGUUUAUUUGUUUUGAUUACCCGUAUUUGCACUCGUGCAUUUUGGGUUGCUAACUUGGGUGUCGAAGGAAUUGGAUCGAAAAACCUUUCUCGACUUCGGUUUUUAUGCAAGUGGCACAUCGAGAGUUUGAUGUUUUCA